GUUUUGGGCUUGACAUUAUGAAGGGACUUGAGAAGCCUCUCCCAGUCUUGACAGCAGGUGGCUUGGCUUCCUCACCUCCUCUAGGAGACGGGGAAGAACCAGCCACUCCUCUGGGAGACACUAUCUGCUGAGAAACCUGUCUUAUCUUCCAGAUCCCCAAGAGCAUGGAGGGUGGCCCAGGCUAUCCCAACACACUUCUCCAGCACCUAUGGUGGAUAGUUGUGGCGUUCAAUGAACCACAGCUCCCAGAAUUCCCACUUUCCUGUGGCCCCUCCCACAUUGACUCUGGGUUGGAUGCGUAGUUUUCUUUAGCCAAUGGGAUGUUAGCAAGCCCGCCACAGGCAGGAUCUUGGUAACUGCUUACAGGAUAGGCUUGUCUUAGAACCCGCCCAUCAAGCUUGUUCACUACAUAAUGUAGAAAGAGGCGCUGAAGGAAUCUAUUUUGGAUAUUUCUCCAGUUUCAACCAAACUUGCAAAUGGAGGGUAGCCAUUAACAGAGGCCAGCUAAGCGACUCAGCUUCGUGAGAAAGAAGAACCCAUUUCAGUUUUGAGUCAGUAUGUUCUGGGUGGCUUACUUGGCAGACACAAGUCUGGACAUAGGAUGGUCACAGUGAAAAUCAAGGCUGAGCAUCUAGCCUGAGCCGGACUGACAGCAUUUCCAGGAGAGCAGGUGGAACAGGGAGGAGCUGGGACAGUGGAGGAUGCAAAAGGCACCCAGUCAUGCCCCAGGAUAAAUAAGACCUCUCACUGUGGAAAUGAACAUGGAGAGAGACGCAUGAACCUAACCUCUGGCUGUUUUGAUUCCAAAAGAAAGAAGGCGAGAAAGAAGCUAGCCCUUCAAGUGUGCUUUAAGAGCAUCGAGCUGAUGGGGAAUGCAUUUCCCACAGCAGAACAGGAUGAGGGGAUUUCGUCCCUGAAGAAUAAAAGGAA
rnacentral:lncRNA from 1 species